rnacentral:rRNA from 1 species
AACGAACGCUGGCGGCAGGCUUAACACAUGCAAGUCGAACGCAUCGCAAGAUGAGUGGCAGACGGGUGAGUAACACGUGGGAAUCUACCCAUCCCUGCGGAACAACUCCGGGAAACUGGAGCUAAUACCGCAUACGCCCUUUGGGGGAAAGAUUUAUCGGGGAUGGAUGAGCCCGCGUUGGAUUAGCUAGUUGGUGGGGUAAAGGCCUACCAAGGCGACGAUCCAUAGCUGGUCUGAGAGGAUGAUCAGCCACAUUGGGACUGAGACACGGCCCAAACUCCUACGGGAGGCAGCAGUGGGGAAUAUUGGACAAUGGGCGCAAGCCUGAUCCAGCCAUGCCGCGUGAGUGAUGAAGGCCUUAGGGUUGUAAAGCUCUUUCACCGGAGAAGAUAAUGACGGUAUCCGGAGAAGAAGCCCCGGCUAACUUCGUGCCAGCCGCCGCAGUAACAC